rnacentral:rRNA from 1 species
GACGAACCGAGCGAACGUUGUUCGGAAUCACUGGGCUUAAAGGGCGCGUAGGCGGGUUCUCAAGUCCGGGGUGAAAUCCCACAGCUCAACUGUGGAACUGCCUCGGAUACUGGGAGUCUCGAGGGUGGCAGGGGUAUGCGGAACUAUCGGUGGAGCGGUGAAAUGCGUUGAUAUCGAUAGGAACUCCGGUGGCGAAGGCGGCAUACUGGUCCACUUCUGACGCUGAGGCGCGAAAGCCAGGGGGGCAAACGGG